UUUCUUCUAGCUUAAAUAAGAAAGCGUUAGUUUGAAGAGCUAAAUAUACAAUAUUGUGGAGAAAG
rnacentral:tRNA from 1 species